GAUGAAGAACGCAGCGAAAUGCGAUAAGUAAUGUGAAUUGCAGAAUUCAGUGAAUCAUCGAAUCUUUGAACGCACAUUGCGCCCUCUGGUAUUCCGGGGGGCAUGCCUGUUCGAGCGUCAUUAUAACCACUCAAGCUCUCGCUUGGUAUUGGGGUUCGCGGUUCCGCGGCCCCUAAAAUCAGUGGCGGUGCCUGUUGGCUCUACGCGUAGUAAUACUCCUCGCGAUUGAGUCCGGUAGGUCUACUUGCCAGCAACCCCCAAUUUUUACAGGUUGACCUCGGAUCAGGUAGGGAUACCCGCUGAACUUAAGCAUAUCAAUAAGCGGAGGA
rnacentral:misc_RNA from 1 species